GAUGAACGCUGGCGGCGUGCCUAAUACAUGCAAGUCGAGCGAACAGACGAGGAGCUUGCUCCUCUGACGUUAGCGGCGGACGGGUGAGUAACACGUGGAUAACCUACCUAUAAGACUGGGAUAACUUCGGGAAACCGGAGCUGAUACCGGAUAAUAUAUUGAACCGCAUGGUUCAAUAGUGAAAGACGGUUUUGCUGUCACUUAUAGAUGGUUCCGCGCCGCAUUAGCUAGUUGGUAAGGUAACGGCUUACCAAGGCAACGAUGCGUAGCCGACCUGAGAGGGUGAUCGGCCACACUGGAACUGAGACACGGUCCAGACUCCUACGGGAGGCAGCAGUAGGGAAUCUUCCGCAAUGGGCGAAAGCCUGACGGAGCAACGCCGCGUGAGUGAUGAAGGUCUUCGGAUCGUAAAACUCUGUUAUUAGGGAAGAACAAAUGUGUAAGUAACUAUGCACGUCUUGACGGUACCUAAUCAGAAAGCCACGGCUAACUACGUG
rnacentral:rRNA from 1 species